rnacentral:misc_RNA from 1 species
AAGUCGUAACAAGGUAACCGUAGGUGAACCUGCGGUUGGAUCAUUAAAAAAAAAUUGAAGCUUCAACCCUUUCAAGGGUAGAAGCGUCAGUGCUCCUCUAACAAGGAGCUUGACUACUCCAAUUUUGUGAACUUGCAACCAAAAAAUGUUUUGAUAGUGGUGAAAGAUUUGGGCAUUACCAGCCCAAGUUUUUCCCUUCUUGAAAAAAAUUGUUAACCCUGAAGAAAUAACUUGUCUUUACCGUUUUUUAUAAAUAAAAAUUAAUAAACAACUUUUGACAACGGAUCUCUAGGCUCUC